rnacentral:rRNA from 1 species
GACUUACGUUGAAAAGUGAGCGGAUGAACUGAGGGUAGCGGAGAAAUUCCAAUCGAACCUGGAGAUAGCUGGUUCUCUCCGAAAUAGCUUUAGGGCUAGCCUCAAGUGAUGAUUAUUGGAGGUAGAGCACUGUUUGGACGAGGGGCCCCUCUCGGGUUACCGAAUUCAGACAAACUCCGAAUGCCAAUUAAUUUAACUUGGGAGUCAGAACAUGGGUGAUAAGGUCCGUGUUCGAAAGGGAAACAGCCCAGACCACCAGCUAAGGUCCCAAAAUAUAUGUUAAGUGGAAAAGGAUGUGGCGUUGCCCAGACAACUAGGAUGUUGGCUUAGAAGCAGCCAUCAUUUAAAGAGUGCGUAAUAGCUCACUAGUCGAGUGACACUGCGCCGAAAAUGUACCGGGGCUAAACAUAUUACCGAAGCUGUGGAUUGUCCUUUGGACAAUGGUAGGAGAGCGUUCUAAGGGCGUUGAAGCAUGAUCGUAAGGACAUGUGGAGCGCUUAGAAGUGAGAAUGCCGGUGUGAGUAGCGAAAGACGGGUGAGAAUCCCGUCCACCGAUUGACUAAGGUUUCCAGAGGAAGGCUCGUCCGCUCUGGGUUAGUCGGGUCCUAAGCUGAGGCCGACAGGCGUAGGCGAUGGAUAACAGGUUGAUAUUCCUGUACCACCUAUAAUCGUUUUAAUCGAUGGGGGGACGCAGUAGGAUAGGCGAAGCGUGCGAUUGGAUUGCACGUCUAAGCAGUAAGGCUGAGUAUUAGGCAAAUCCGGUACUCGUUAAGGCUGAGCUGUGAUGGGGAGAAGACAUUGUGUCUUCGAGUCGUUGAUUUCACACUGCCGAGAAAAGCCUCUAGAUAGAAAAUAGGUGCCCGUACCGCAAACCGACACAGGUAGUCAAGAUGAGAAUUCUAAGGUGAGCGAGCGAACUCUCGUUAA